ensembl:lincRNA
AUGUUCCCACAGAGCCAGCUCUUCUUCAGGAUAAGCAUGCCUGGUUUCUUCAACUUAUUCCACAAGAGUGAACAAGUAAGAAAUAACAGUUCUUCCUGGAUCAGCCCUCUCCCGUCUGUCAUCUCCAACAGAUACAAAGCCAGCUUUAAGAAGACCAAACCUACAAAAAUCAUUCAUGCUUUCUGCCUCCAUGUUUUUCUUUCCAACCUAGUUCCUCCAGAAAAUGUAAAAGAGCAACCGAACCGUCAAUUGGUACAAUGACUUCUACACGUCAGACCUCGGCCACGCCACAGUCAUCAGAUUAUUCUAUCACAGGGUCUCUCAACCGUGGAAUAUGGUCUCCAAGGGAAACAAGCCAGAGAGGGCUCAGGAGCACUGCUAUAAAGAGUAGGCAAAUGGAAAUCUUUCCCCAAAGGGCACACUGGGAUUGUUAGGCGAGGGCUGCUCAAUCCAUUAAAAGUUUAAACUCGAAAAAAAAAAAGAAAAAAAAAACCUUUUGAAAAAAUACAGAAAGCAACCUGUUCUAGAUUUUAUGUAUAAAAGAGAGUUUAUUCAGGGGACUGAAAUGUUGACAGUGAAUCAACUGGGAGGAUAUUUUCAAUCAGAACCGUAUGACUGACAGCUUUCAUAUUAUUAAUGCACAUACUAGGAGACAUCAAAUUUGAAGGGCAGGCAUUGUGCUAAGUCAGACUUCUACCUUAAAAUGCAUUACAUUUUGUCUGUAAAUCAAGGUCAGUUAUUAAAUUAAGGUGCUCUCAUCCCUAAAUACUUUAUUCCAUCAUCGUGUGUAAUUAAUCACAAACCCCUUACUUGGGGUUCUUUAGAAAGUGAUGAGCAAAACCCAUAAAAAAUUAAGAGAAAAAAUAACAGGUAUCUUUUAAAAAACAGGGAAUAAGUGCAAGGAAAUUUAAGUAUAAGUAAAAAAAUUUGCACGAUCCUUUAAAUAGAUAAUAGAUAUAAUAAUAAUAAUUUUGCAGCCCUACAAUUCCACAGCAUAUUAAUCUUUUCAAAUCUGUUAUUUUUCAUCAUUAAAACAAUCAUGUAAAACAGGUGGAGUACUUCAAUAUUCCAAUUUCACAGAUGCAUACACUGAGUCAAGGAAAAGUUAAGUAUCUAUUAAGUCAUCCAGCUUACCGGAUAUGGAACUGAGACUUGAAAGCAUAUCUUCUAAAUCCCACCUCUUCUCCAAAGAUAGUGUCAGGACAUAGAAAGCAGAAGUUAAACUGUAUGAGCUAUUCUGCCUUCCAUAUUUAUUUUUCCCAAGAAGUAAUUUUAAAAAAACAUUGGAGAUAAUGCUUUUGAAGCACUUUGCUAAAUGCUAAAUUGUCCAAACACUUUGGAAAAAAGUGGCAGUUUCUUAAAAAAUUAACAAAGAAUUACCAUAUGACCCAGCAAUUCCACUCCUAGCCAUGUACUGAGGAGAACUGAAAAUAUAUGUCCAUGUAAAAACUUAGAGUUAAAUAUUUGUAGCAGCUUUAUUUAAAAUAGCCAAAAAGUGGAAACAACCCCCCAAAAAUGUACCUCAGUGAUGGAUGUAUAAAUAAAACAUGUUGUAUACAUAACAAGGAAAUAUUAUUUAGCCACAAAAAGAAAUGAAGUUUCUUUUUCUAUUAGUUGGCCAUAAAAAGAAAUAAAGUGUUUUUUGUUUUGUUUUGUUUUGUUUUUUUGUAGCAUGUACUGACCUGGAAAACCUCAUGCUAAGUGAAAGAAGGCAGUUACAAAGGACCACAUAUUUUUGAUACCAUUUAUAUAACAUGUCUAGAACAGGCAAAUCUAGAGAGAUGGAAAGUAGGUUAGUUGUUGGCUAGUACUAGAGUAAGCAAGCAGGGAUUGAAGGGUAUUGGCUAAGGAAUACAGGGUUUCUUUCUGUGGUGCUUUUCUUAAAAAGUUCUAAAAUUGAUUGUUGUGUUGUUUGCACAAUGCCGUGAAUAUCCUAAAAGCUACUGAAUGAUACACUUUAAAUGGGUGAAUUGUAUGGUAGGUAAAUUAUGUCUCAAUAAAACUGUUAAAAAACACACAGGCAUACUCUGUUUCAAAUGUUGCCUAAGAUUAUCUCUGCAUUCAAAAGAGAUAAAAGAAACCCUCUUUCUUUACUUCCUUUACUUUUUCUUCUAUUAGUCUUCCCAGUUUUUAGGAUCCAGAACUCAAGUUCUUGUGAUAAGUUAUUUGCAAAGUACGAAGGAGUUUGAUCCACUUUGAUUUGCCUGAGAUCUAAACCCAGAUGUAGUGUUUUGAUGGGCAUUCUGAGUUUUCAACAUCCUACUGACAGAAAGACUGGCUGGAAGGACACAAUCCUUCUGUACAAAGGACACUGAGUAUUCUUUAAUCUUGUAUCUGUUUUUGUUUCUGUCUCUUACCUGGAUUCUUGUGUUGCAUUAUCCACACUUACACAUAACAAUUCAUAACACUUCAACUCUAGGCCAUUAGAUUGGGUGGGGGGGGGGUUUAAAAAACCCUGUAGCCAGGCAUGAUGCCUCAGGCCUGUUAUCUCAGCAUUUUGGGAGGCCGAGGUGGGAGGAUGGCUUGUGGCCAGGAGUUCAAGACCAGCCACAGCAAUGUAGUCAGAUCCUGUCUCUACAAGAAAAUCAAAAAACUAGCCAGCCAUGUCACCAUAUGCCUGUAGUCCCAGCUACUCAAGAGGCUGAGGUGGGAGGAUUGCUUGAGCCCAGGAAGUUGAGGCUGCAUGAAUUAUGAUUAAAGGACUGCACCCCAGCCUGGGCACACAGCAAAAUGCUGCUUCUAAAAAAAAAUUUUAAAAAUGAAUACAGAAAGAAAAAUUUAAAAAUAAACACUGUAACCACUAUUACUUACUUGACUUCCCAUCUUUCCUUUUUCUAGCUUUUAGAGAAACGGCUCUUAGUAUCUCUGUAAACCACCUACCUAAUCACUAGCUUAAUCUGAUAUAAUAAAAUAAAAUUUACAUAAAAUCAUUCCCAUAGUAACUAUCUACACAAUUAGAUAUAAUAGUUCUCUAAUUUUAAGAGGUAACUGUUCUCUUUUCAGGUGCAAAGUUAACCUAAAACACAGCACAAUGUUUUUUUAAAAAAUACAUUAGUCAAAUCUAAGCAGGCAUAUUAAACAAUAAAAGGAGGUGAUUUCAUUACAUGCACAAGGCUGAAAACUUUUUUCUCACUUAAUUAUUUAAAGAUUGUGAACUCUUUGAUGUAAGAAUGUGUUUUUUAAUUCAUUUUUAUGCCUUUACAUUUCUUGAAUAUCUUGAAUAUUUCCUACUAUAUAAUGGGUGCUUAAUGUGAAUGAAUGAAUAAACAAAUGAG